rnacentral:rRNA from 1 species
AACGUGGGAGACAAACGUUAUCCGGAGUUACUGGGCGUAAAGGGCGUGUAGGCGGUCGACUAAGUCUGGCGUGAAAGCUCGCGGCUAAACCGCGAGAGGUCGUUGGAUACUGGUUGACUAGAGGACGGUAGAGGCGUGUGGAAUUCCGGGUGUAGUGGUGAAAUGCGUAGAGAUCCGGAGGAACACCAGUGGCGAAGGCGACACGCUGGGCCGUACCUGACGCUAAAACGCGACAGCAUGGGGAGCGAACGGG